CGCUUAAAACGGCCCGUGCGGAAACAAGCCCUCAAAAGGGUCCGUGUGGAAACGAGUGCUCAGAAGGUUCCGUGUGAUGAAGAAAUGGAGACUAACAGUGUCCAAUUUUUGUUUUUACUGAAUUACAAAUGUCACGCGUUAUUUAACGAGUUAACUUUGACAGCCCUAGUUUUAAAACAUAAUGGCUUUCAUUUUCUAAAAGGAAAAAGGUAGGGAAUAUAUUAACUGAUUUGAAGUUUGUAAGUAAGUUUGGCUCAAUUUCAAGGACAAAAACAUUUUCAAUGUUUUUAUGUAUUUGACUUUUUUGGUAAUCUGGGAAAAGGUGAGAGAAUCCGGCUUUAGCUUUGGCAUGGGGGGGACACAUUUUGGGAGAAUGUAAUUUUUUUUACUAAGGUGUUUUUUCAAGUUGACUGGUAUGAUAUUCUUUGAUAUGUUGACUGCAUAUAAUUUUCUAAACACAACCCCAUCCCCUUUUUUUUUCACUUUUAUAUAUUUGAUAUUUACAAAGGUUUUUGUAUUUUGCUUGUGUGUAGUCACUAGCUGCCAAUGCUUUACCAACCAUAUUACAAAGACACUGAAUAAUAAUAAUAAUAAUAAUAAUAAUAGCUAUGGUGGUGAGCCCAAGAGCAGCUGGUUAAGAACAAAAGUGGGAUGUUUUCAGAUUCUUGUGUUUUUAACUUUUUAAUCGAGGAGACAUUUAUUUUCAAGAAGAACUUGACAUGAAGGAGCAGCUUUGAAAACCAAUAUAUUUUAAAUGCUUGAAGGACUUCUUUUUAUUUAAUAAUUCAUAACUUGUUUAUUUAUGGCUUCCUGCAUGAUGCUGCUUUUUAAAAAAUGAUUUGUGUGUCUGACAUAUUGAAUAACCUGUGUUGGUGGGUAGAGGAAGCAUGAUGGAACAGCCUGUGUUGGUGGGUAGAGGAAGCAUGAUGGAACAGCCUGUGUUGGUGGGUAGAGGAAGCAUGAUGGAACAGCCUGUGUUGGUGGGUAGAGGAAGCAUGAUGGAACAGCCUGUGUUGGUGGGUAGAGGAAGCAUGAUGGAACAGCCUGUGUUGGGUAGAGGAAGCAUGAUGGAACAGCCUGUGUUGGUGGGUAGAGGAAGCAUGAUGGAACAGCCUGUGUUGGUGGGUAGAGGAAGCAUGAUGGAACAGCCUGUGUUGGUGGGUAGAGGAAGCAUGAUGGAACAGCCUGUGUUGGUGGGUGGAG
ensembl:lncRNA